rnacentral:rRNA from 1 species
CCUACGGGAGGCUGCAGUGAGGAAUAUUGGUCAAUGGGCGCGAGCCUGAACCAGCCAAGUAGCGUGAAGGAAGACUGCCCUACGGGUUGUAAACUUCUUUUAUAAAGGAAUAAAGUGAGGCACGUGUGCAUUUUUGCCUGUACUUUUUCAAUACGGCUCGGCCAACUCCGUUCCCGCAGCCGCGGUAAUACGGAGGGUCCGAGCGUUAUCCGGAUUUAGUGGGUUUAAAGGGAGCGUAGAUGGGUUGUUAAGCCAGAUGUGAAAGUUUGCGGCUCAACCGUAAAAUUGCAAUUGAUACUGGCAGCCUUGAGUACAGUUGAGGUAGGCGGAAUUCGUGGUGUAGCGGUGAAAGGCUUAGAUAUCACGAAGAACUCCGAUUGCGAAGGCAGCCUACUAAACUGCCACUGACAUUGAUGCUCGAAAGUGUGGGUAUCAAACAGGAUUAGAUACCCGAGUAGUC